rnacentral:tRNA from 1 species
GCCUUCGUGGUCUAGUGGUUAUGACGCUCGCCGUAUCAGCGAGAGGUCGCAGGUUCGAAUACCGUCGGAGGCA